rnacentral:tRNA from 1 species
AGUUAAUGAGCUUGAACAAGCGUAUGUUUUGAAAACAUAAUAUAGAAAUAUAAAUUUUCUAUUAACUU